AACGUGAGUUGGUUCCGCUGUCGCUGUCGACGCGAGGGAUUAAGAAUUGACAAAAGAUUAUUGCAGCGGCGAGACGGUUUUGAUCCUAGUUAAUUCGCGUGCCUCUGGUGGGCUGGGUUGGGAUUAGUUUAACGCCGAGUUGGCGGGAGGCGGUGUCGGGGAGCAUGUGUGCCAGUGAGGCGGAGGUGGAAGAAGGGUGAGCUGGCGCCGCGGGGGGCCCGCCUGGCAGUGAGAGCUCACUGUCGGUCCUGAGGACCGACGGAGGAUAUAUGCUGGAGCCUGGGGGUCGGACUAAUUGCUAGGUCCACGAGUGUGAAAUGUGGCGUGUGUGUUUCCCAUAAAUUAAGUCCAACAGCUCAUCAUUACUGAUCUAUAGUUAUUUUAGAUAGAUCAAUGCUAAUGUAGGGAGUAAUUAGGGUUUUUAUGACAGGUUCUACUGAUAACGAAAGCAAAAAGAUCAUGCAAUGCAAGACUCCUAGGGUUAUUAUUACAUGUAACAUACACUAUAAGGGCAUGUACAAUGGGUGUCUUAAGUUGUGUCUUAGAGUAUGUCUAGGGGGGUGAAUGUAAAAAAACUCAAAACACGUAUCUUGACGAAGACACAGUGUCUUAGCUCUAUGUUUGAGAUAGGAGACUAGCUGAUUGGUUACUUUAAUUUAUUGAAUUCUCUGAUUGGU
rnacentral:lncRNA from 7 species